rnacentral:rRNA from 1 species
UACAGAGGGUGCUAGCGUUGUUCGGAAUUAUUGGGCGUAAAGAGCUCGUAGGCGGUUUGUCGCGUCUGCCGUGAAAGUCCGGGGCUCAACUCCGGAUCUGCGGUGGGUACGGGCAGACUAGAGUGAUGUAGGGGAGACUGGAAUUCCUGGUGUAGCGGUGAAAUGCGCAGAUAUCAGGAGGAACACCGAUGGCGAAGGCAGGUCUCUGGGCCGAUACUGACGCUGAGGAGCGAAAGCGUGGGGAGCGAACAGG